UAAUAGUGCCCUAUUGAUGCAAAUCAUUGGGUUAGAUCUGCUCUCUUCGCAAGAAGAGGGUUUCCAUACACACCGUGAACUGUGGCUUCGGCCAUCACAAACUGUUAGUAAUGAAUGUAAUAUCAUAACAAAAACAAAACUUUUAACAACGGAUCUCUUGGCUCUCGCAUCGAUGAAGAACGCAGCGAAAUGCGAUAAGUAAUGUGAAUUGCAGAAUUCAGUGAAUCAUCGAAUCUUUGAACGCACCUUGCGCCCUUUGGUAUUCCGAAGGGCAUGCCUGUUUGAGUGUCAUGAAACCUCACCCCACUUGGGUUUUUGCCUGAGCGGUGGUGUAUUGGGUGUUGCCUUGCUAAAGGCUCGCCUUAAAGACAUAAGCACCUUGGAUGUAAUACGUUUCAUCCUUCUGGGUGGCUGAUAACCCCACAUAUUCAUGAUCUGGCCUCAAAUCAGGUAGGGCUACCCGCUGAACUUAA
rnacentral:rRNA from 1 species